rnacentral:tRNA from 1 species
GGAGAGGUGCCAGAGUGGUCGAAUGGACCGGACUCGAAAUCCGGAGUACGGCUUGCUGUACCGUGGGUUCGAAUCCCACCCUCUCCGCCA